GAGUUUGAUCAUGGCUCAGAUUGAACGCUGGCGGCAGGCCUAACACAUGCAAGUCGAACGGUAACAGGAAGCAGCUUGCUGCUUUGCUGACGAGUGGCGGACGGGUGAGUAAUGUCUGGGAAACUGCCCGAUGGAGGGGGAUAACUACUGGAAACGGUAGCUAAUACCGCAUAACGUCGCAAGACCAAAGAGGGGGACCUUAGGGCCUCUUGCCAUCGGAUGUGCCCAGAUGGGAUUAGCUAGUAGGUGGGGUAAUGGCUCACCUAGGCGACGAUCCCUAGCUGGUCUGAGAGGAUGACCAGCCACACUGGAACUGAGACACGGUCCAGACUCCUACGGGAGGCAGCAGUGGGGAAUAUUGCACAAUGGGCGCAAGCCUGAUGCAGCCAUGCCGCGUGUAUGAAGAAGGCCUUCGGGUUGUAAAGUACUUUCAGCGGGGAGGAAGGGAGUAAAGUUAAUACCUUUGCUCAUUGACGUUACCCGCAGAAGAAGCACCGGCUAACUCCGUGCCAGCAGCCGCGGUAAUACGGAGGGUGCAAGCGUUAAUCGGAAUUACUGGGCGUAAAGCGCACGCAGGCGGUUUGUUAAGUCAGAUGUGAAAUCCCCGGGCUCAACCUGGGAACUGCAUCUGAUACUGGCAAGCUUGAGUCUCGUAGAGGGGGGUAGAAUUCCAGGUGUAGCGGUGAAAUGCGUAGAGAUCUGGAGGAAUACCGGUGGCGAAGGCGGCCCCCUGGACGAAGACUGACGCUCAGGUGCGAAAGCGUGGGGAGCAAACAGGAUUAGAUACCCUGGUAGUCCACGCCGUAAACGAUGUCGACUUGGAGGUUGUGCCCUUGAGGCGUGGCUUCCGGAGCUAACGCGUUAAGUCGACCGCCUGGGGAGUACGGCCGCAAGGUUAAAACUCAAAUGAAUUGACGGGGGCCCGCACAAGCGGUGGAGCAUGUGGUUUAAUUCGAUGCAACGCGAAGAACCUUACCUGGUCUUGACAUCCACGGAAGUUUUCAGAGAUGAGAAUGUGCCUUCGGGAACCGUGAGACAGGUGCUGCAUGGCUGUCGUCAGCUCGUGUUGUGAAAUGUUGGGUUAAGUCCCGCAACGAGCGCAACCCUUAUCCUUUGUUGCCAGCGGUCCGGCCGGGAACUCAAAGGAGACUGCCAGUGAUAAACUGGAGGAAGGUGGGGAUGACGUCAAGUCAUCAUGGCCCUUACGACCAGGGCUACACACGUGCUACAAUGGCGCAUACAAAGAGAAGCGACCUCGCGAGAGCAAGCGGACCUCAUAAAGUGCGUCGUAGUCCGGAUUGGAGUCUGCAACUCGACUCCAUGAAGUCGGAAUCGCUAGUAAUCGUGGAUCAGAAUGCCACGGUGAAUACGUUCCCGGGCCUUGUACACACCGCCCGUCACACCAUGGGAGUGGGUUGCAAAAGAAGUAGGUAGCUUAACCUUCGGGAGGGCGCUUACCACUUUGUGAUUCAUGACUGGGGUGAAGUCGUAACAAGGUAACCGUAGGGGAACCUGCGGUUGGAUCACC
rnacentral:rRNA from 4 species